UGAUCCUGGCUCAGGACGACGCUGGCGGCGUUGCUUUAACACAUGCAAGUCGAACGUAAGCUUGAUGAUUGAUUUCUUCGGAAUGAUUUCUGAUAUGACUGAGUGGCGGACGGGUGAGUAACGCGUGAGGAACCUGCCUUUCAGAGGGGGACAAACGUUUUGGAAACGAACGCUAAUACCGCAUAACAUUACCGGGUGGCAUCGCUUGGUAAUCAAAGAUUUAUCGCUGAAAGAUGGCCUCGCGUCCAAUUAGCUAGUUGGUGAGGUAACGGCCCACCAAGGCGACGAUUGGUAGCCGGACUGAGAGGUUGAACGACCACAUUGGGACUGAGACACGGCCCAGACUCCUACGGGAGGCAGCAGUGGGGAAUAUUGCACAAUGGGCGCAAGCCUGAUGCAGCAACGCCGCGUGGAGGAAGACGGUUUUCGGAUUGUAAACUCCUGUUCUUAGUGACGAAGAAGUGACGGUAGCUAAGGAGCAAGCCACGGCUAACUACGUGCC
rnacentral:rRNA from 1 species